CUGCGACGUGGGACGACAAGAUUAUAGAAGAAUUACCUGGGAAGGUAAGCCAAAGAGAGUAACAGCCUCGUAUUCGAAAUAGUCUUUAACCCUAGCAGUAUCCUGAGUACGGCGAGACACGAGAAAUCUCGUCGGAAUCUGGGAGGACCAUCUCCUAACCCUAAAUACUCUCUAGUGACCGAUAGUGAACCAGUACCGUGAGGGAAAGGUGAAAAGAACCCCGGGAGGGGAGUGAAAGAGAACCUGAAACCGCAUGCCCACAAGAAGUCAGAGCCCGUCAAAGGGUGAUGGCGUGCCUUUUGUAGAAUGAGCCGGCGAGUCACGAUCAGCAGGCGAGGUUAAGCAGGAGAUGCGGAGCCGCAGCGAAAGCGAGUCUUAAGAGGGCGAAAUAGUCUGAGGUCGUGGACCCGAAACCGGGUGAUCUAGCCAUGAGCAGGUUGAAGUCGGGGUAAGACCCGAUGGAGGACCGAACCGACCCCCUUUGAAACGUUGGCGGAUGAGUUGUGGCUAGGGGUGAAAUUCCAAUCGAACCCGGAGAUAGCUGGUUCUCCCCGAAAUAGCUUUAGGGCUAGCCUCGAUACAGAUUUGCGGAGGUAGAGCACUGAAUUUCCUAGGGGGCGUCAAAGCCUACCGAAGAAUAUCAAACUCCGAAUGCCGCGUAAUCGAUUAUCGGGAGUCAGACUGCACGAGAUAAGUUGGGCGGUCAAAAGGGAAAGAGCCCAGACCUUCAGUUAAGGUCCCCAAGUGCGCGUUAAGUGGAAAAGGAUGUGGGAUUUCGAAGACAACCAGGAUGUUGGCUCAGAAGCAGCCAUCCAUUCAAAGAGUGCGUAAUAGCUCACUGGUCGAGAGGCCUUGCGCCGAAGAUGUCCGGGGCUCAAGUACAGAACCGAAGUCGCGGCAGGAUUAUAUAAUUCUGGGUAGGGGAGCGUUGUAUAUCCGACUGAAGGUGUACCGGAAGGAGCGCUGGAGGAUAUACAAGAGAGAAUGCCGGUAUGAGUAGCGAAAAGAACAGUGAGAAUCUGUUCCACCGAAAGCCUAAGGUUUCCUGAGCAACGCUCGUCGACUCAGGGUAAGUCGGGACCUAAGCCGAGGCAAAAAGCAUAGGCGAUGGACAACAGGUUAAUAUUCCUGUACCGCUUCAAAUCGUUUGAGCAAUGGAGUGACACAGAAGGUAGCUUGAGCACGCGAAUGGAUGUGCGUGUCGAAGGUGGUAGAUUGCAGUAUAGGCAAAUCCGUACUGUAUAAGAUCGAGAACUGAUAGAUAGACGAUACUUCGGUAAAGUCAAAUUCAAGUGAGCCAUGCUGUCGAGAAAAGCUUCUAGUGAGAGAUGAGGCGCCCGUACCGAAACCGACACAGGUAGGCGGGGAGAGAAUCCUAAGGUGCGCGGGACAACCCUCGUUAAGGAACUCGGCAAAUUGUAUCCGUAACUUAGGGAUAAGGAUAGCCGGAGGAUGUGAAGGGAUUUACUUCUGGAGCGUCAGCCGGUGGCACAAGAGAGGCCCAAGCGACUGUUUAGCACAAACACAGGUGCCUGCGAAAGAGAAAUCUGAAGUAUAGGUGCUGACACCUGCCCGGUGCUGGAAGGUUAAGAGGAGGGCUUAGAGGCAACUCGAAGGCUUGAAUUGAAGCCCCAGUAAACGGCGGCCGUAACAAUAACGGUCCUAAGGUAGCGAAAUUCCUUGUCGGGUAAGUUCCGACCCGCACGAAAGGCGUAACGAUUUGGGCACUGUCUCAACAACAGACUCGGUGAAAUUGUAAUUCCGGUGAAGAUGCCGGAUACCUGCGACAGGACGGAAAGACCCCAUGGAGCUUUACUCCAGUUUGGUACUGGGACUCGGUAUUGCAUGUACAGGAUAGGUGGGAGGCUAGGAGAUGGUAACGCCAGUUGCCAUGGAGCCGCUGUUGGGAUACCACCCUUGCAGUAUUGGGUUUCUAACCAGCCGCCGUGACCCGGCGGUGGGACAAUGCCAGACGGGGAGUUUGACUGGGGCGGUCGCCUC
rnacentral:rRNA from 1 species